UUGGAAAAAGCCAUCCCCACCAACCUUCUAAGUAGUUCCACCCUCCCCUCCAUAAGGGUUUCUCUUCUUUUCAUUUUUCUUGACUUUUCAUUCAACAUUUCACAAGAUCUCAACCCCCAUAUUUGAUCUUUUGUUAAGAACACCUUCAAGUCCUUUGUUUUCCACAAAUAAAGUUAAAGUUAGAGAGAGAAAAUUUCAAUGUGGUAAGUAAUGAUAUUUUUUCUCUCCUAGCUUAAUAUUUGAGUGUAGAUGCGAUGUGAAAGCUUGGAAAGCUUAGGUGCUAAAAUGUGAUUUUUUUUUUUGUAUGAGAAAAUGAUGAAAUGAUGUAUCAUGGAAUUUCAAGCAAAUGUGAGGAUGGAUUCAAGUGAUUGAAAGCUUAGUUUUGUGUAUAAAUGCAUCCAAGAGCUUCUCUCUCGAGUUUUAAAAUGGGUAAAGUGAAAACUCGCAUCAACAUCGUGGCCAUUAAUCAUGUCCACCUUUGGUCAUUUGAUCUACAAGCUUGGAGGCAUUUACAAGCGUCUGAUUGAGAGGUUUGAGAAAGAAGCUACUGAGAUGAACAAUGCAUGGGUGCUUGGGUGGAAGUUAGACCACUGAAUACUACUGCACUAUUGUUGGAGCUCUCGUAACACCAAUAUUUUCUAUAAGACACUAGGUACUGUUCCAAGAUCGGACAUAGUGAAAUAUAAUCUAUGUAUUUUCACAUCUUUUUCAAUUUGGUCCAAAAGUGAUGUUUAUCACACCAAUAGACAUUUCAAGUCAUUACCAUGCCAAGUAAUCGGUAAUAACUCAUAUUUUCUCUUUUUGGUUAAAA